GAAAUGCGAUACGUAAUGCGAAUUGCAGAAUUCAGUGAAUCAUCGAAUCUUUGAACGCAAAUUGCGCUCUCGGGUUACCCCCAAGAGCACACCUCUCUGAGUGUCGGUUUAACCAAAUGUCACCAAUUUAUUGGUGUACGAAAGCCUGAGGGUAAGGGGUUUCGGCUCUUUUCCCUUUAAAACUUAUGCCGCACAAUUUUGUGUGUCGGCGGCAAGUUGCUUUCACUUAAUUGUGAAUUCAAUCCGCUGACCCUUGGUUGUGUAGCCACAAAGAAACAAAAGAAUAGUAGUCUGCUGGCUCAAGAAAGCUUGCUUCGGCUUGCAAUCAAAAGUUGGUGGUUCUUCUGUUCAAACUAUGAAUUAGACCUCAGAUGAAGUGGGAAAACCCCCUGAAUUUAA
rnacentral:misc_RNA from 1 species